rnacentral:misc_RNA from 1 species
GAUGAAGAACGUAGCGAAAUGCGAUAAGUAAUGUGAAUUGCAGAAUUCAGUGAAUCAUCGAAUCUUUGAACGCACCUUGCACCCUUUGGUAUUCCGAAGGGUAUGCUCGUUUGAGUGUCAUUGUACUCUCACACUUCUAAUUCCUUUCGGGAUUGGGAGCGGUGGACUUGGGUGUUGCUGCUUUAGUUGUGGCUCACCUCAAAUAAGUUAGUGCAACUCUUGGUUGGACAUAGUACGGCGUGAUAAGUGUCUUCGCCGGCGCCUCUGUAAGGAGGGUGGCCGAUCGGGAGCUCUGUGCUUCAAACCGUCUUCGGACAAUCUUUGACAACUUGACCUCAAAUCGAGUAGGAUUACCCGCUGAACUUAAGCAUAUCAAUAAGCGGAGGA